rnacentral:lncRNA from 1 species
UGUGUUUGAAUCAUUGCGUGAGCGUGGGUGAUAAUUUUUGCUUCAGUUGUCUAAGAGAGUUUGGAUGGAAUUGAAAGUCUGUAUAAGUGGAUGAGUGAGUAGGUAGUUGGGAUUGGGUUUGAUGAGAUAUCAUGCCUUAAUUUGAGUGAUUGUGGGAUUUUAUUCUAUUUUAAUUUUUACUUUCUUACUUUUUUUUGUUUUUUGGUUUUCUCUCUUUUAUCCCUAAAUUUUUUUGACGUUUUUCCCUUUCCCUUCUCUGCACUAUUUUUCAUUUUCUUUCCCUUUCAAUUUUCGUUCACACUCUUUUGUUCUUCUUGUUACAUUCCAGAAUUUUGUUGUUUGUCGUACGAUUCAGGUAAGUGGGGUUUUUCUUGGUGGUAGGUUUCGAUUUCUGUAAGCUAUUGGGUUAAUCAUUUUUGUAGUAAUGUAAUAAU